rnacentral:rRNA from 1 species
GACGGGGGGUCCUAGCGUUGUUCGGAAUCAUUGGGCGUAAAGCGUGUGCAGGCUGUUUGAUAAGUUGGAUGUGAAAGCCUUGGGCUUAACCCAAGAAGUGCAUUCAAAACUAUCAAACUUGAGUAUGUAAGAGGAUCGUGGAAUUCCUAGUGUAGUGGUGAAAUACGUAGAUAUCAGGAGGAACACCGGUGGCGAAGGCGGGUCUCUGGGCCGAUAUUGACGCUGAGGAGCGAAAGCGUGGGGAGCGAACAGG